UCAAAUCCAUGAGCAGUUUCCAUAUUCAGUUUAAUCUGAAUAUCUGGACUUGUCCAGUGACUGCUGAGAAAGAUCAGCUGACAACAGGGGAAAGUCCUUGUGGCGGCACGGAGAGACGGCUGACAGGAGGGAAUAGACCCCACUGGGACAGUCAUGGGGUAGCUUCCCAUUUCUGUAGUUUCCCAUGCGUCGCAGUAUGUUGGAAACACCCGCUUUAGCUACAGAAAGUCAACAUACGAGAAUACCCCUAGAGUCUGCGAGAGCGGGGGCGGAAGAUGACUCAUCGGCUGACAACAUGGUAACGACUGGACCGGAAACGACUACGAGUAAUGAGAGCACAGCACAAGAGAACACCACAGCAACUGUCACAAGUUCUGCUGCAACAGCGGGCCACAAACAGAUGCAGGUAUGUGUCUGUGGUUGGAGGAAAGUUACAUCACACCAUGGGUUGAGGAUCCACCAGGGGAAGAAGGGGUGUUUGGGUAAAGAGAGACAGAGGCCUCGCAUUGAUUACUUUCUGCGAAAGCGAUCAAAUCAGUCGAAUGAAGCACAGCAACUGGACGCAAACCAUAGUUUGCAGUGCAUCAGUACCACUGUCAUGGAGGACGUACACUCAAGCACCGAAGUAACAACUGAGGUGGAACCAACAACAGUAGUGGAACUCACCGAGCCUCCCAGACCUGCAGUCGAGAGGAGACUACCAGGGCACAGACCAUAUGUGAAGUGGCCCGGCGCCAGUGACAAGAAGUUGUGGGAAACAGUGAAUACUGACCUUACCUUGACCCUCGAGACACUUCGAGGCACAGUGGAGAAGAAGUUGGAGAGGAUGGGGGACAUUAUCUAUGAGUACGGGACAGAAAGAUUUGGAGUGGAAGAGGCAAAAGGCGGGAGAAAGGUUCCAACCCCACCAGUUUCCAGGAGGCAACAAGAAAUCAAGCGCCUCGUUCAAGAAAGGCGACAGCUUAAGAAACAGUGGAAGAAGGCCUCGGAAGUGGAGAAGGAGGGCAUAGAGGCACUUCAGGCUGAUAUCAAAACCUGGUUGGCAUCCCUCCGUAGAGCAGAGAACCUACGGAAACGCAGAAGGAAGAAAGAACAAACUAGAACUCGAUUCUAUAAAGAUCCCUUCAAGUUCCUUAAAAGUCUCUUCACGAAGGAAAAAAGUGGAGCUCUAAAAACAACAAAGAAAGACCUAGAGGAGCACCUGAGAACAACAAACUUUGACUCAAAGCGACAUGAACAUCUGGCCAUCCCAUCAGAUAUCCCACCCAUUGAACCCCCGGAACAUCAUAUUGAGACCAGCCCUCCGACAUGGAAAGAGGUGGAAAACACAGUUCGACGGGCAAGAACAGCAUCAGCCCCGGGGCCAAAUGGAGUCCCGUACAAAGUGUAUAAGAACGCACCAGACGUCCUGAGGUUCCUCUGGAGGCUUAUGAGAACAGCUUGGAAAAAUAAGAUAAUACCCAAAGUGUGGCGUAGGGCAGGCGGGGUCCUGAUCCCUAAGGAGAAGGAUGCAGUGAACAUCAGCCAAUUCCGCCCAAUCUCCUUACUGAAUGUC
ensembl:lncRNA